GAUUUUGGCUCCACAUACUGUACAGUAACUGCUAGAAUUAACUGACCAAAUAACUAAAGUGUGAACUUAGCCUUGCAGGUCAAUGUUUGCAUCAUAUAUAAUGUACUUACCCAUGCAGUAGCCCAGGAUUCUACUAUAGAGUGAAAGAGCUGUCUCAAUUUACACCAUCUGCUGUUUCCACAUAGAUUGCUAGUUAUACUAUUAGCCACUGAUUCUACUAAAUUGUGAAAGAGCGUGGCCUUGGAACAGCUGGGAAG